UACGAAGGGGGCUAGCGUUGCUCGGAAUCACUGGGCGUAAAGGGUGCGUAGGCGGGUCUUUAAGUCAGGGGUGAAAUCCUGGAGCUCAACUCCAGAACUGCCUUUGAUACUGAAGAUCUUGAGUUCGGGAGAGGUGAGUGGAACUGCGAGUGUAGAGGUGAAAUUCGUAGAUAUUCGCAAGAACACCAGUGGCGAAAGGCGGCUCACUGGCCCGAUACUGACGCUGAGGCACGAAAGCGUGGGGAGCAAACAGG
rnacentral:rRNA from 1 species